AAUGAACGUUGGCGGCGUGGAUUAGGCAUGCAAGUCGAGCGAGAACCCCGCAAGGGGGGACAGCGGCGCAAGGGACAGUAAUGUGUAGAUCAUCUGCCCUCAGGUCCGGGAUAGCUGCGGGAAACUGCAGGUAAUACCGGAUAACAUCUCCGGAUCAAAGGUGUGAUUCCGCCUGAGGAUGAGUCUGCAUCCGAUUAGCUAGUUGGCAGGGUAACGGCCUACCAAGGCAUUGAUGGGUAGCGGGUGUGAGAGCACGACCCGCGUCAUUGGGACUGGGACACUGCCCAGACACCUACGGGUGGCUGCAGUCGAGAAUCUUCGGGGAUGGGCGCAAGCCUGACCGAGCGACGCCGCGUGUGGGAUGAAGGCCUUCGGGUUGUAAACCACUGUCAGAGGGGAUGAAAUGCAGGUGGGUUCUCCCAUCUGUUUGACAUAGCCUCAGAGGAAGGACGGGCUAAGUUCGUGCCAGCCGCCGCUGUAA
rnacentral:rRNA from 1 species